rnacentral:rRNA from 1 species
AGAGCCAACGGUGAAUGCCUUGGCACGUACUACCGAAGAAGGACGCGAUCGGCUGCGAUAAGCCACGGCGAGCUGCCUAAUAAGCUAUGACCCGUGGAUGUCCGAAUGGGGAAACCCAGCACCCGUCAUGGGGUGUUACUCCCGCCUGAAUAUAUAGGGCGGGUAGAGGGAACUCGGUGAACUGAAACAUCUCAGUAACCGGAGGAAAGAAAAACAACCGUGACCCCCCUAGUAGCGGCGAGCGAACGGGGGUGAGCCUAAACCGAUUUUGUGGAAUAGCCUAGCGGCGUUGCAAAGUCGGGGUCGUGGGACCUAAACGCAGGUGCGCUAGAGCCUGCAAAGAGUUACAAAACUUGUUGCUAGUAGAACCGUACUGGAAAGACGGGCCGUAGAGGGUAAUAGCCCCGUAAACGAAAGCUUCAAGUCUCUUAUUAGUGUUCCCGAGUAGCACCAUUGACGUGGAAUUUGGUGUGAAUCUGCGAGGCCCACCUCGUAAGGCUAAGUAUACGUACGUGACCGAUAGUGAACUAGUACCGUGAGGGAAAGGUGAAAAGUACCCCGGGAGGGGAGUGAAAUAGUACCUGAAACCGUUGGUUUACAAGCAGUCAAAGAGUCGUUUAGGAAACUUGUUUCCUGGGCCUCGAUGGCGUGCCUUUUGAAGAAUGAGCCUACGAGUUAUGGUGUGUGGCAAGGUUAACCCGUGAGGGGAAGCCGGAGCGAAAGCGAGUCUGAAUAGGGCGCAUAGUCGCAUGCUGUAGACCCGAAGCCGUGUGAUCUAUCCAUGGGCAGUGUGAAGCGAGGGUAAGACCUCGUGGAGGCGCGAACCGACCUAGGUUGAAAACUGGGCGGAUGACCUGUGGAUAGGGGUGAAAGGCCAAUCAAACACGGUGAUAGCUGGUUCUCUGCGAAAUGCAUUUAGGUGCAGCGUUGCGUGUUCAUUCAUGGAGGUAGAGCACUGGAUGGAUUAGGGGGCCCACAAGCUUACCGACUUCAGCCAAACUCCGAAUGCCAGUACUCCAGAGCGCAGCAGUGAGACCCCGGGGGAUGAGCUUCGGGGUCGAGAGGGAAACAGCCCAGAUCGCCGGCUAAGGUCCCAAAGUGUGUGUUAAGUGGUAAACGAUGUGGGUUCGCAUAGACAACCAGGAGGUUGGCUUAGAAGCAGCCACCCUUGAAAGAGUGCGUAACAGCUCACUGGUCGAGUGGACCUGCGCGGACAAUGUAACGGGGCUAAACACACCACCGAAGCCGCGGAUGCCAUAUUUAUAUGGCGUGGUAGCAGAGCGUCGAUCUUGCUGUGAAGCAGCUGCGGAAGCAGUUGUGGAGCGUGGUCGAGUGCGAAUGUAGGCAUGAGUAGCGAGAGAGGGGUGAGAAACCCCUCCACCGAAAGCCCAAGGGUUCCUGGGGAAGGCUAUUCCUCCCAGGGUGAGUCGGGACCUAAGGCGAGGCCGAAAGGCGUAGUCGAUGCACAACUGGUUGAUAUUCCAGUACCGCUGAGAGCGCGCCCAGGCUUAACCGAAGUUGCUAACUGGAUGUCCGGAUCCUUAGGGAGCCGGAAGGAAAGGACCCACUUUGGAGCGGCCAGCAAUGCAGGGACGAAGAAUGGUAGGUGAACCCAGGCGAUGGUUGUCCUGGGGUAAGUGCUUAGGCCGGGGCAUAGGUAAAUCCGUUCCCCAUAAAGGCUGAAACACGAUGCCGAGUCGAAUACGACGAAGUCAUUGAUCCACUACUUCCAAGAAAAUCUGCUAGCUAGCUCUCUUAGCGCCCGUACCCCAAACCAACACAGGUGGGCAGGUAGAGAAUACUAAGGUGUAUGAGAUAACCAUGGUUAAGGAACUCGGCAAAUUGCAUCCGUAACUUCGGGAUAAGGAUGACCUCUUGGGUUUAUAGCCUAAAGAGGUGGCACAAACUAGGGGGGAGCGACUGUUUACUAAAAACACAGCAGGGUGCUAAGUCGUAAGACGAUGUAUACCCUGUGACGCCUGCCCGGUGCUGGAAGGUUACGGGGACCGGUUAGCUGUAAAGCGAAGCUGUGAACCUAAGCCCCAGUAAACGGCGGCCGUAACUAUAACGGUCCUAAGGUAGCGAAAUUCCUUGUCGGGUAAGUUCCGACCUGCACGAAUGGCGUAACGACUCCCCUACUGUCUCAACCAUGGACUCAGCGAAAUUGAAGUACGAGUAAAGAUGCUCGUUAGCUACAGAAGGACGGAAAGACCCCGUGGACCUUUACUAUAGCUUGAUAUUGGUGUUUGAUUUGCGUUGUGUAGGAUAGGUGGGAGACUAGGAAGUCGGCGCGCUAGCGUCGGUGGAGUCAACCUUGAAAUACCACCCUGCGUACGUUGACCAUCUAACUUUGGACCGUGAUCCGGUUCGGGGACAGUGUCAGGUGGGUAGUUUGACUGGGGCGGUCGCCUCCUAAAGAGUAACGGAGGCGUUCAAAGGUUCCCUCAGACUGGUCGGCAAUCAGUCUUCGAGUGCAAUGGCAUAAGGGAGCUUGACUGCGAGACCUACAAGUCGAGCAGGUACGAAAGUAGGACAUAGUGAUCCGGCGGUUGCGUGUGGAAGCGCCGUCGCUCAACGGAUAAAAGGUACCCCGGGGAUAACAGGCUAAUCUUCCCCAAGAGUCCAUAUCGACGGGAAGGUUUGGCACCUCGAUGUCGGCUCAUCGCAUCCUGGGGCUGAAGCAGGUCCCAAGGGUUGGGCUGUUCGCCCAUUAAAGCGGUACGCGAGCUGGGUUUAGAACGUCGUGAGACAGUUCGGUCCCUAUCCUCUGUAGCCGGAAGAGAUUUGAGGAAAGCUGCCCCUAGUACGAGAGGACCGGGGUGGACGAAGCUCUCGUGUGCCAGUUGUCCUGCCAAGGGCAUGGCUGGUUGGCGACCUUCGGACGGGAUAACCGCUGAAAGCAUCUAAGUGGGAAGCCCAUUCCAAGAUGAGAUCUCUCACUGGGUUAACCAGGUAAGGCCCGUGGAAGAACACCACGUUGAUAGGCCGGAAGUGUAAGUGCGGUAACGCAUUCAGCUGACCGGUACUAAUCGGCCGAGGGCUUGGUUA